rnacentral:rRNA from 1 species
GAUGAACGCUAGCGGCAGGCCUAAUACAUGCAAGUCGUACGGCAACACAGUUGCGAGCAAUCGCAACCGGUGGCGAGUGGCGCACGGGUGAGUAACGCGUAUGUAACCUACCCUUCUCCGGGACAUAACUCCGCGAAAGCGGUGCUAAUAUCCCAUACCAACUCAUCAAGACAUCUCUUGAGUUGAAAGCAGCAAUGCGGUGAAGGAUGGGCAUGCGUCCCAUUAGCUGGUUGGUGAGGUAAUGGCCCACCAAGGCUACGAUGGGUAGGGGUUCUGAGAGGAAAGCCCCCCACACUGGUACUGAGACACGGACCAGACUCCUACGGGAGGCAGCAGUAAGGAAUAUUGGGCAAUGGUCGAAAGACUGACCCAGCCAUGCCGCGUGCAGGAUGAAGGCCCUAUGGGUUGUAAACUGCUUUUAGCCGGGAAUAAACACCCGUUUUAUAACGGGCCCGAAGGUACCGGCUGAAUAAGACAUCGGCUAACUCCGUG